AUGUCAACAUGAGCUAAUCUGGGAUUACAAAAUAGCGCCUCUCCAUUAAUAGAACAAUUAACCUUCUUUCAUGAUCAUACAUUACUAAUUUUAGUAAUAAUUACAGUUCUAGUAGGUUAUUUAAUAUUCAUAUUAUUUUUUAACAACUACACAAAUCGAUUUUUACUACACGGACAAACCAUUGAAAUAAUUUGAACAAUCCUGCCCGCUAUUAUUCUUUUAUUUAUUGCUUUCCCAUCCCUCCGGUUAUUAUAUUUACUAGAUGAAAUUAAUGACCCGGCAAUCACCCUAAAGUCAAUUGGACACCAAUGAUACUGAAGUUAUGAGUAUUCAGAUUUUAUUGACUUAGAAUUUGACUCUUAUAUAGUGCCAACUAAUGAACUUUCAAUAGAUGGAUUUCGGCUACUAGACGUAGACAACCGAGUAAUUAUCCCAACAAAUACACAAAUUCGUGUAUUAGUGACUGCCGCUGAUGUAAUUCAUUCUUGAACGGUACCUGCCCUAGGUGUAAAAGUAGACGGAACCCCAGGACGAUUAAAUCAAACUAACUUUACAGUUAGCCGCCCUGGGUUAUUUUUUGGACAAUGUUCAGAAAUUUGUGGGGCCAACCACAGCUUUAUACCAAUUGUAAUUGAAAGUACCCCUCCAACCCACUUCAUUAAAUGAAUUUCU
rnacentral:rRNA from 1 species